CAGUCGCCACGGUAAUACAGAGGGUGCGAGCGUUAAUCGGAUUUACUUGGCGUAAAGCGUGCGUAGGCGGCUUCUUAAGUCGGAUGUGAAAUCCCUGAGCUUAACUUAGGAAUUGCAUUCGAUACUGGGAAGCUAGAGUAUGGGAGAGGAUGGUAGAAUUCCAGGUGUAGCGGUGAAAUGCGUAGAGAUCUGGAGGAAUACCGAUGGCGAAGGCAGCCAUCUGGCCUAAUACUGACGCUGAGGUACGAAAGCAUGGGGAGCAAACAGGAUUAGAUACCCCGGUAGUCCCUGUCUCUUAUAC
rnacentral:rRNA from 1 species